rnacentral:rRNA from 1 species
CGGAAGGGGCGAGCGUUGUUCGGAAUCAUUGGGCGUAAAGGGCGCGUAGGUGGUCUUGUGUGUCUACCGUGAAAGCACACGGCUCAACCGUGUUUGGUCGGUAGAAACUGCAGGACUCGAGGCUGGGAGGGGCUGGUGGAAUUCCCCGUGUAGCGGUGAAAUGCGUAGAGAUGGGGGAGAACACUCGUGGCGAAGGCGGCCAGCUAGACCAGUUCUGACACUGAGGCGCGAUAGCGUGGGGAGCAAACAGGAUUAGAUACCCUGGUAGUCCACGCUGUAAACGAUGGGCACUAGGUGCCGGCGGUCUUGAUCCCGUCGGUGCCGGCGCUAACGCAGUAAGUGCCCCGCCUGGGGAGUACGGUCGCAAGGCUG